rnacentral:rRNA from 1 species
GAUGAACGCUGGCGGCGUGCCUAAUACAUGCAAGUCGAGCGAACAGACGAGGAGCUUGCUCCUCUGACGUUAGCGGCGGACGGGUGAGUAACACGUGGAUAACCUACCUAUAAGACUGGGAUAACUUCGGGAAACCGGAGCUAAUACCGGAUAAUAUAUUGAACCGCAUGGUUCAAUAGUGAAAGACGGUUUUGCUGUCACUUAUAGAUGGCUCCGCGCGUCAUUAGCUAGUUGGUAAGGAAACGGCUUACCAAGGCGACGAUGCGUAGCCGCCCUGAGGGGGUGAUCGGCCCAACGGGAACUGAGACCCGGCCCAGACUCCUACGGGAGGAAGCAGUAGGGAAUCUUCCGCAAUGGGCGAAAGCCUGACGGAGCAACGCCGCGUGAGUGAUGAAGGUCUUCGGAUCGUAAAACUCUGUUAUUAGGGAAGAACAAAUGUGUAAGUAACUAUGCACGUAUUGACGGUACCUAAUCAGAAAGCCACGGCUAACUACGUG